UUGGAAACUAAGCAUUACACGGUGGAUGCCCUGGCAGUCAGAGGCGAUGAAGGACGUGCUAAUCUGCGAUAAGCGUCGGUAAGGUGAUAUGAACCGUUAUAACCGGCGAUUUCCGAAUGGGGAAACCCAGUGUGAUUCGUCACACUAUCAUUAACUGAAUCCAUAGGUUAAUGCAGAGGCGAACAGGGGAGGGAGACAAAAUCCCUGGUACCCCCGAGGGAAAAGAAAUCAACCGAGAUUCCCCCCAGUAGCGGCGAGCGAACGGGGAGGAGCCCAGAGCCUGAAUCAGUGUGUGUGUUAGUGGAAGCGUCUGGAAAGGCGCGCGAUACAGGGUGACAGCCCCGUACACAAAAAUGCACAUGCUGUGAGCUCGAUGAGUAGGGCGGGACACGUGGUAUCCUGUCUGAAUAUGGGGGGACCAUCCUCCAAGGCUAAAUACUCCUGACUGACCGAUAGUGAACCAGUACCGUGAGGGAAAGGCGAAAAGAACCCCGGCGAGGGGAGUGAAAAAGAACCUGAAACCGUGUACGUACAAGCAGUGGGAGCACAGAGCAAUCUGUGUGACUGCGUACCUUUUGUAUAAUGGGUCAGCGACUUAUAUUCUGUAGCAAGGUUAACCGAAUAGGGGAGCCGAAGGGAGGCGCCGAGUGCUCGGGCGUUAAGGAGUUGCAGGAGUAUAGACCCGAAACCCGGUGAUCUAGCCAUGGGCAGGUUGAAGGUUGGGUAACACUAACUGGAGGACCGAACCGACUAAUGUUGAAAAAUUAGCGGAUGACUUGUGGCUGGGGGUGAAAGGCCAAUCAAACCGGGAGAUAGCUGGUUCUCCCCGAAAGCUAUUUAGGUAGCGCCUCGUGAAUUCAUCUCCGGGGGUAGAGCACUGUUUCGGCAAGGGGGUCAUCCCGACUUACCAACCCGAUGCAAACUGCGAAUACCGGAGAAUGUUAUCACGGGAGACACACGGCGAGUUAACGUCCGUCGUGAGAAGGAAACAGCAGACCGCCAGCUAAGGUCCCAAAAGUCAUGGUUAAGUGGGAAACGAUGUGGGAAGGCCCAGACAGCCAGGAUGUUGGCUUAGAAGCAGCCAUCAUUUAAAGAAAGCGUAAUAGCUCACUGGUCGAGUCGGCCUGCGCGGAAGAUGUAACGGGGCUAAACCAUGCACCGAAGCUGCGGCAGCGACACUGUGUGUUGUUGGGUAGGGGAGCGUUCUGUAAGCCUGUGAAGGUGUGCUGUGAGGCAUGCUGGAGGUAUCAGAAGUGCGAAUGCUGACAUAAGUAACGAUAAAGCGGGUGAAAAGCCCGCUCGCCGGAAGACCAAGGGUUCCUGUCCAACGUUAAUCGGGGCAGGGUGAGUCGACCUAAGGCGAGGCCGAGGCGUAGUCGAUGGGAAACAGGUUGCUAUUCCCUGUACCCCUGGUGUUACUGCGAGAAGGGGGGACGGAGAAGGCUAUGUUGGCCGGGCGACGGUUGUCCCGGUUUAAGCGUGUAGAGCUGGUUUUCCGAGGAGCAAAUCAGAAAAAUCAAGGCUGACGUGAUGACGGGCACUACCUGAUUGCUGAAGCAACAAAUGCCCUGCUUCCAGGAAAAGCCUCUAAAGCAUCAGAAGGUAACAUCAAAUCGUACCCCAAACCAUUUGACCACAGGUGGUCAGGUAGAGAAUACCAAGGCGCUUGAGAGAACUCGGGUGAAGGAACUAGGCAAAAUGGUGCCGUAACUUCGGGAGAAGGCACGCUGAUAUGUAGGUGAAAGUCCCUCGCGGAUGGAGCUGAAAUCAGUCGAAGAUACCAGCUGGCUGCAACUGUUUAGGCUAAAAAGCAGCACUGUGCAACACGAAAGUGGACACGACGUAUACGAUGGUGUGACGCCUGCCCGGUGCCGGAAGGUUGGUGAUGGGGUCAGCACAAAGCGAAGCUCUUGAUCGAAGCCCCGGUAAACGGCGGCCGUAACUAUAACGGUCCUAAGGUGGCAGAAAUUCCUUGUCGGGCGAAGUUCCGACCUGCACGAAUGGCGUAAUGAUGGCCAGGCUGUCUCCACCCGAGACUCAGUGAAAUUGAACUCGCUGUGAAGAUGCAGUGUACCCGCGGCAAAGUUGGAAAGACCCCGUGAACCUUUACUAUAGCUUGACACUGAACAUUGAGCCUUGAUGUGUAGGAUAGGUGGGAGGCUUUGAAGUGUGGACGCCAGUCUGCAUGGAGCCGACCUUGUGCUCUCACCCCUUGUCGUUUGAUGUUCUAACGUGGACCCGUGAUCCGGGUUGCAGGUCAGGGUGUCACAGUGGGUAGUUUGACUGGGGCGGUCUCCUCUAAAGAGUAACGGAGGAGCACGAAGGUUGGCUAAUCCUGGUCGGACAUCAGGAGGUUAGUGCAAUGGCAUAAGCCAGCUUGACUGCGAGCGUGACGGCGCGAGCAGGUGCGAGCAGGUCGCCAUAGUGAUCCGGUGGUUCUCAGAAUGGAAGGGCCAUCGCUCAACGGAUAAAAGGUACUCCGGGGAUAACAGGCUGAUACCGCCCAAGAGUUCAUAUCGACGGCGGUGUUUGGCACCUCGAUGUCGGCUCGCCACAUCACGGGGGCUGAAGUAGGUCCCAAGGGUAUAUGGCUGUUCGCCAUUUAAAGUGGUACGCGAGCUGGGUUUAGAACGUCGUGGGAGACAGGUUUCGGUCCCCAUAUCUGCCAGCGUGGGCGCUGGAGAACUGAGGGGGGCUGCUCCUGUACGAGAGGACCGGAGUGGACAUCACUGGUGUUCGGGUUGUCAUGCCAAUGGCACUGCCCGGUAGCUAAAUGCACGGAAGAGAUAAGUGCUGGCAUCAACACAAAGCUUCCGCCGGACGAGUUCUCCUGACCCUUUAAGGGUCCUGAAGGAACGUUGAAGACGACGACGUUGAUAGGCCGGGUGUGUGGCACCCAGCGAUACGGUUGGGAGCGACCGGGUUUACGAUG
rnacentral:rRNA from 1 species